UCUUAUGGAUGAGCAAAGAAAUUGGUUUCCUGAAAUAGAGUCUACUCCUGGUGACGAUACUGUGAA
rnacentral:pre_miRNA from 1 species